CUAUAUCAUUUAAUCAGUUCCGUUAUAUUUGAUGCUGGGGAAGAGCUUAGGCCAGGCAGUUCUCAACAAUUAGGGGUGGAAUAGGAUGAUUGUGGUUGAAAGUUGAAACAAUAUAAAAUAAUUGGUUUUAGAGAAAGCUUUAGAAUUAAAAUUCUGAAUUGAAAUAGAAAAUACAAUACAUAGGCUGAUUGCUAUUGUCCUAUUUAUUGUAGUUAGAAGCUUAGCAAAUCAAGGACUCUUACUAUUUCUCAUUAAUUAAUUAACAUAAUUAAUUAGGAAACACAAAAGAUUAAAAGCUAUUCACAUACUUCAUUAAAUAGGAAUGUUAAAGGAAGGGAAGAAAAAGGGAAAAAAAAAAAAAUUGAAACUCCUACUUAAUUAUGUUGUAUGCUCCUGCAUCAUUCUCCUUGGAUCAGAAAAGAAACCUUGACCCAGUCCUCAUGUAUGGCUGGAUCAACUCGAUUCAGCUCUUCCCAGAAAUCUAUAUGCUUUAGAGCUUUUGAAAGAGCAAACAACAUCAUAAGCCAUUGAAAUAAUGUAUACUUUUUCUGGGCAAGGAAAGUUGAUUAAACAAAAAACUUUUUAAGCCUUCCAUUAAUUAGGUAUUUUGCAUGAGAUGUAUGUCAACUGCAUGAGCUACUUGCAUCAAACAAUUUGCUUGGUUAGCUAAAGUUGCACUAGGAAUAAGUUGCAUGACAGACAUUCCUUAUUGUUGCUUAUUCUUUUGGUAAUUCAUUGCUAUAAAUAUCCAUAAGCAAAUACUUAUUGAAGAACAAUAAUCUUCCUUUGUUUUCUCAAUAUAUGAAAUGAUUUUAAGUUUUCCUUCAAAAACCUUUUCUACAAAAAUUAUUUAACUUUUUGUUUCUGACUAAACUUUGCUUUGCAUUGAUAUUGAUCAGAGUAGAUAUUGGAAACAAAGGAUUCUAUAGUCGACUUCAACAAGUUUGGGACUAAAACUUAGUUAUGGUACUGGGUCAAUUUCUUUAACUACCUCACCAUUAUCCUUGUUGUAGAUUGGUUCCAUAAAGUCCUUGUUGGUGCCUUCACUGUUUUGAGCAUUCAAAUAAGAGACUUCUUUCUCCUUUUGACCCUUCUUAGGGUCAUCGACA